rnacentral:rRNA from 1 species
CGGGGCUACUGCUCUGUAAUUGGCAUGGGGGCGACCUUCACCCUCGCCCGAGUACCCAUUGGAGGGCAAGUCUGGUGCCAGCAGCCGCGGUAAUUCCAGCUCCAAUAGCGUAUAUUAAACUUGUUGCAGUUAAAAAGCUCGUAGUUGUACUUCACGUCCCCCGCGUGGUCCUUUCCUCGCCGGGACGCCUCGUUACUUUGAGAAAAUUAGAGUGUUUCAAGCAGGUUUCGCCUGUAUAAUUGAGCAUGGAAUAACCUUGUAUGACCCUGUCGUACCGUUGGUUGACUUUGGGUAAUGGUUAAUAGGAACGGUUGGGGGCAUUCGUACUCGACUGUCAGAGGUGAAAUUCUUAGAUUUGUUAAAGACGAACUACUGCGAAAGCAUUUGCCAAGGAUGUUUUCAUUAAUCAAGAAC